CUGCUGCCUCCCGUAGGAGUCUGGGCCGUGUCUCAGUCCCAGUGGUGGGGGGCCUUCCUCUCACGAACCCCUACGCAUCGUCGCCACGGUGGGCCGUCACCCCGCCGUCUAGCUAAUGCGCCGCAUGCCCAUCCGCCACCGGAUCGCUCCUUGGCCACCGGAGGAUGCCCUCCGGUGGCGUCACGGGGUAUUAGGCCGCGUUUCCGCGGGUUAUCCCCCUGUCGGCGGCCAGGUUGCAUACGUGUUACUCACCCGUGCGCCGGUCGCCGGCGGG
rnacentral:rRNA from 1 species